AUUCUCAUUUAUAAAACUAAUUAUACUAGUGAACCCGGAUGGCGCCAAAACGCCAACAUUUAAUUAAAUUUUUUAAACAGGUGAAACCCUAUUCAUAAAGCUCU